GCUGAACAGUGAAAGGGGGAUUCCAAAUGAAAAUAUAGAUGAUGUCACCAAAACAGACAACUGUCUUAAAUAAGAACUGAGAACAUCUGUUGGAAGAAAAGGAAGCAAGAAUAUGAGAUGGAUCUUCAUCAAUAAUGUGUCACAAUAACCGAUAUGAAGAUAAAAGACCUUUUCCUUGAAAUCAUCAUGUCUUCUUUCUCAAGACUUUAUGAUCUUGGGCCCAUGGCUUCCUUGCCAUGAAUCUCCUCUGGUCUUGUUGAUGUUACUGAAUUUCUAAACUUAUCAAUAAACUGAUUAACG
ensembl:lncRNA